GAUGAAGAACGUAGCGAAAUGCGAUACUUGGUGUGAAUUGCAGAAUCCCGUGAACCAUCGAGUCUUUGAACGCAAGUUGCGCCCGAAGCCAUUAGGCCGAGGGCACGCCUGCCUGGGCGUCACACGUCGUUGCCCCCCCAUCUACUCCUUCGGGAUUGCGGGGGGCGGAUGAUGGCCUCCCGUGCGCCUCGUCGCGCGGUUGGCAUAAAUGCCAAGUCCUCGGCGACGCACGCCACGACAAUCGGUGGUUGCGAAACCUCGGUUGCCCGUCGUGUGCGGUCGUCGCGCAUCGAGGGCUCGAAAAAAUUGUCGGGCUCCGGCUCGGCUUUCAACGCGACCCCAGGUCAGGCGGGGUUACCCGCUGAAUUUAAGCAUAUCAAUAAGCGGGAGGA
rnacentral:misc_RNA from 1 species